rnacentral:rRNA from 1 species
UACGUAGGCAGCGAGCGUUGUUCGGAAUUACUGGGCGUAAAGAGUGUGUAGGCGGUGCUCUAAGUUCGGUGUGAAAUCUCCUGCUUAACUGGGAGGGUGCGCCGGAACUGGAGUGCUUGAGCGUGGGAGAGGAAAGCGGAAUUCCUGGUGUAGCGGUGAAAUGCGUAGAUAUCAGGAGGAACACCUGUGGUGUAGACGCUUUCUGGACCAUAGCUGACGCUGAGACAC